UGAACGCUGGCGGCGUGCCUAAUACAUGCAAAUCGAGCGAACAGACGAGGAGCUUGCUCCUCUGACGUUAGCGGCGGACGGGUGAGUAACACGUGGAUAACCUACCUAUAAGACUGGGAUAACUUCGGGAAACCGGAGCUAAUACCGGAUAAUAUAUUGAACCGCAUGGUUCAAUAGUGAAAGACGGUUUUGCUGUCACUUAUAGAUGGAUCCGCGCCGCAUUAGCUAGUUGGUAAGGUAACGGCUUACCAAGGCAACGGUGCGUAGCCGACCUGAGAGGGUGAUCGGCCACACUGGAACCGAGACACGGUCCAGACUCCUACGGGAGGCAGCAGUAGGGAAUCUUCCGCAAUGGGCGAAAGCCUGACGGAGCAACGCCGCGUGAGUGAUGAAGGUCUUCGGAUCGUAAAACUCUGUUAUUAGGGAAGAACAAAUGUGUAAGUAACUAUGCACGUCUUGACGGUACCUAAUCAGAAAGCCACGGCUAACUACGUG
rnacentral:rRNA from 1 species